rnacentral:rRNA from 1 species
ACGGGUGAGUAAUGCCUAGGAAUCUGCCUGGUAGUGGGGGACAACGUUUCGAAAGGAACGCUAAUACCGCAUACGUCCUACGGGAGAAAGCAGGGACCUUCGGGCCUUGCGCUAUCAGAUGAGCCUAGGUCGGAUUAGCUAGUUGGUGAGGUAAUGGCUCACCAAGGCGACGAUCCGUAACUGGUCUGAGAGGAUGAUCAGUCACACUGGAACUGAGACACGGUCCAGACUCCUACGGGAGGCAGCAGGU